UAGUGGCGAACGGGUGAGUAACACGUGGGCAAUCUGCCCUUCACUCUGGGACAAGCCCUGGAAACGGGGUCUAAUACCGGAUAACACUGCGGAUCGCAUGGUCUGNGGUUAAAAGCUCCGGCGGUGAAGGAUGAGCCCGCGGCCUAUCAGCUUGNUGGUGAGGUAGUGGCUCACCAAGGCGACGACGGGUAGCCGGCCUGAGAGGGCGACCGGCCACACUGGGACUGAGACACGGCCCANACUCCUACGGGAGGCAGCAGUGGGGAAUAUUGCACAAUGGGCGAAAGCCUGAUGCAGCGACNCCNCGUGAGGGAUGACGGCCUUCGGGUUGUAAACCUCUUUCAGCAGGGAAGAAGCGAAAGUGACGGUACCUGCAGAAGAAGCGCCGGCUAACUACGUGCCAGCAGCCGCGGUAAUACGUAGGGCGCAAGCGUUGUCCGGAAUUAUUGGGCGUAAAGAGCUCGUANGCGGCUUGUCACGUCGAUUGUGAAAGCCCGAGGCUUAACCUCGGGUCUGCAGUCGAUACGGGCUAGCUAGAGUGUGGUAGGGGAGAUCGGAAUUCCU
rnacentral:rRNA from 1 species